AGCGAACGCUGGCGGUAUGCCUAACACAUGCAAGUCGAACGGCAGCACAGUAAGAGCUUGCUCUUACGGGUUGCGAGUGGCGGACGGGUGAGGAAUACAUCGGAAUCUACUUUUUCGUGGGGGAUAACGUAGGGAAACUUACGCUAAUACCGCAUACGACCUACGGGUGAAAGCAGGGGAUCUUCGGACCUUGCGCGAUUGAAUGAGCCGAUGUCGGAUUAGCUAGUUGGCGGGGUAAAGGCCCACCAAGGCGACGAUCCGUAGCUGGUCUGAGAGGAUGAUCAGCCACACUGGAACUGAGACACGGUCCAGACUCCUACGGGAGGCAGCAGUGGGGAAUAUUGGACAAUGGGCGAAAGCCUGAUCCAGCCAUACCGCGUGGGUGAAGAAGGCCUUCGGGUUGUAAAGCCCUUUUGUUGGGAAAGAAAAGCAGCAGGUUAAUACCACGCUGUUCUGACGGUACCCAACGAAUAAGCAACGGCUAACUUCGUG
rnacentral:rRNA from 1 species